UGAAUCCAGUGGCGUUUCUUCUCGCAGCUCCCGGGUGUGAGAUUGUCCUGGCCAGCGGCCACUGCCUCACCGUUCUCCUCGGGGAGGUUCUCUGUCUUCGUGCUGCCAUUCUCCUCAGGAAGGUUCUCCUGCUUCAUGCUGCUGCUCUGCCAGGGGAGUGGAACAACCCCUCCCUCCGCGCUCUGUUAAACCACGGUGGGCCCACAGGUAACCAGCACCCUGAGCCAGGGUGACAGGGAGGUGCCAUUCAUCUGCUUUACACGGGAUUUACCUCCAAGGGCCCAGCAUGUGCCACGUCUCAGUCACUCAGCUGCAGGACCUGAGCUCACCUGUGCACAGCAGUGCAGUGAUGCAGGAGGUCUUGGCUUGCACCACAUCCCCCGAUCCCAAGGCAUUGCCCACCCUGACACUCGCAGCCACGCUGAUGCCCAGAGGCACCUGAGCAGCAGGAGACAAGAGGAGGUGAGUGGCAGCAGAGCCUGCAGUGACAACAGAGCCUGCAGCAAUUUUUUUCUUCUCCAGAGGGGAAUUUGGGACAAACUGGCAUGGCUGCAGCAAAGGGGUUUUCCAUCUGCAGCACACCUGGAUGUGCAGCUGCUGUGGCAGGUCUGAGAGGCAUCACCUGCCUGGUACUGCCCCCUGUUCCCACCUCAGAUUGACCACAGAGCCACUGUUUGGGGGCUGCUCCCAGGCUGUUUGGGGUUUCCUACACCCAGCCCUUACCAUGUAGGCGGCACAGGCGAGCUCGUAGAUGACGGACUGUGCACCCAGCUCCACCACACUGAGCAGCCCUGCAAAAGAUU